GUGAGGAAUAUUGGACAAUGGGCGCAAGCCUGAUCCAGCCAAGCCGCGUGCAGGAAGACGCAUCUAUGGUGUGUAAACUGCUUUUGUACGGGAAGAAACACUCCCUCGUGAGGGAGCUUGACGGUACCGUAAGAAUAAGGAUCGGCUAACUCCGUGCCAGCAGCCGCGGCAAUACGGAGGAUCCAAGAGUUAUCCGGAAUCAUUGGGUUUAAAGGGUCCGUAGGCGGUUUAAUAAGUCUGUGGUGAAAGCCCAUCGCUCAACGAUGGAACGGCCAUUGAUACUGUUAGACUUGAAUUACAAGGAAGUAACUAGAAUAUGUAGUGUAGCGGUGAAAUGCUUAGAUAUUACAUGGAAUACCAAUUGCGAAGGCAGGUUACUACUUGUGGAUGGACGCUGAUGGACGAAAGCGUGGGGAGCGAACAGGAUUAGAUACCCGAGUAGUCC
rnacentral:rRNA from 1 species